GAUGAAGAACGCAGCGAAAUGCGAUAAGUAGUGUGAAUUGCAGAAUUCAGUGAAUCAUCGAAUCUUUGAACGCACAUUGCGCCCCUUGGUAUUCCAUGGGGCAUGCCUGUUCGAGCGUCAUUUGUACCUUCAAGCUUUGCUUGGUGUUGGGUGUUUGUCUCGCCUUUGCGUGUAGACUCGCCUUAAAAUAAUUGGCAGCCGGCGUAUUGAUUUCGGAGCGCAGUACAUCUCGCGCUUUGGACUCAUAACGACAGCGUCCAAAAGUACAUUUUACACUCUUGACCUCGGAUCAGGUAGGGAUACCCGCUGAACUUAAGCAUAUCAAUAAGCGGAGGA
rnacentral:misc_RNA from 1 species